AAUCUCAUUUCAUUUCUGCAAAGCUUCAUGGCCGGAUAGCAGCAGCAAAAGGGACAACCGAAACCUUCAACAUUUCUUCUUCCAAAACUCAUGCAAAUCACCACCAAAUCUUCUAAAAAUUUAGCACCACUUAGCCUAAGUCUUGGACAACAUAUUUAGCUGGAAAAGGGAGGAGCUUUCACGGUUCUUCAAGCUUCAAAGGGGCCGAAACUUCUGUCCUAACCAGCCAUCAAAGUAGAUAGUAAUCAAUCACCUUAAACUUGUCUUUUGGAGUUUGAUUUAUGCAUUUGAGCUAGAAUCGUCACUUUACUAGCUUGUAUUGUUGGGAAAAUUGUUAAACGUGGGCUCUAUGAACUCCCACUUUGGUUUGAUGGCUGUGAUGAUGUUUGAUGAUGGUUUUGUUGCUAAAUUAGAGCUUAAGGAAGUAGAUUAAAGGUGCUUUGUUACCAGAAACGUUAUUGAACUCUUGAAACAAAAAGUUCCAUUUUACCCCUGCUCUGUUCGGUCAUUUUAAUGCAGAAACUGAGGAUUUAAUGGCCUGAUUAUGUUGUUUACAUGUUGUAGCAGUUGUGUACAAAUUUUCGUUGAAAAAUAUUGAGUUUUGGUGGGUCAAACGAAUUUAUUUCCAAAGCUAGUAAUCUGGGAAAACGGUUGCCGUCGUAACCAGACCAGUGUUCGUGUUUCGUCCAUAACUCCGUACUCCGAUGUCGAAAUCAAGUGCCGUUAGAGCAUUUGAAACUUGACGUUCCCAUGUUCCAACGGUGUAUAGUGCACAUUCUGGUUUCAUGUGUGUGAGCCACACCAUUCAUCUGAAGUCGCCUGUCCUGUUUCUCCGUUCUGCCGAAAUGAUUUGAUGAUGCUGCAAGUUUAGGCUUAAUUUCGAACACAGUUGCAUGCUGAAACUUGAAAUGAUUUCUUCUGUGUAAUUUUAGCCCUAUGAAUGUAUUUUCUAACACUAUCAACCAUUCCUAAUUCCGAGUUAAAUUGAGGGAGUUAUGAUCAAAAUACGGCGACUGCCUCGUUUUUGAAACCUUAGAUUUGGACAGAUUGCCUUAAGGAUUUUUCCAAACUUUGGUUGAUUGAUUAACCACCUUUCCGAGGGUAUUUUUCCAUGAAAUUUUAUAGAGAGAUACCCUUCAUAUGGGAGUAUUAUACUGCAAAAUUUGUGUCAAUUCAAGUCCGUUUCGACACUUAACAAAAGGUCCAAAGUCGGAACCAAAUCUGGAAAUUUGUUAACAGUCUUGAAAUUUACCCAACUUUGAGCUACCAUAUCUUUGUGCUCGAAACUCCAAUUCUCGAUCCGCUUGUUCUGACCCAAACCUUACUUGCACCUCUAAUUGAGCUACAAAUUUCAAGGGCCGAUUUGCAACGAGUGAAUUCUGCUGAAUUUUCAAAGUUAGCGAAAAACCAACCCCGGCUCAAUCCUGGGUGAUUUGGAACAGCAACUUUAAACUCAUUUUUGAACACCUUCCACUUAGAUUCAUGGAAAAGUGUCUUCUAAGAACUUUUAGUACUUUGGAAAAGGUUUCCAACGGUACCAAGUUUUCCAAUUUUUGACAUGUGGAAUCUGAGAUACGAUUUUUUCAAAAUAUCAUAUCAAAACUGAAAUUUCUAAAUUUCAAGGAAAUGGAGUUUUUCAAGUAUUCCUUAUUCCUUCGAUAAUACUUGAACGUUUAUGCUUGAUUUCCAAGAUAACAAAACUCGAUUGCUCUUGUACAUUAAGAAACUCCACUUGAACCUCGAUUUACUAGUAAUUGAGGUUCAUUUUCAUGAAAUUUCCCCAGAUUGUACUAGUGCACAAUCUUCCUUGAUAAUUGGGAUGUGUGAAUGAUAAUUCACUAUUAAAUGCUCAGGCGCUCAAGAGGACCUUCCAGAGGAUCUCACGGGAGACGCCUAAACCAUCAUUUGAACUCGC
rnacentral:lncRNA from 1 species